AACCGUGCCUACUCCAGAGCCAUGGAGAUGUUGCUGCACCUCUCGCGAGAAAGAGGCCCAACAACGAGAUAAACCAACCCCACCGUCGCAUCUCCUCCUCAACUCAAAAGAAGAAAGAAAAAUCCAGGACCACUUCCGCUAUUCCCCAACCCUAGCGACUCGAAACAGUGCGACGCUUGUGAUUUUCCGCCGGCGACAAGGAAGAGCAUCGACGAAUCACCGAAAUAGUGCCAACAGAAAAAAAGAAGAAGAUAUGAUCAACUAAAAAUAAAGAGAAGAAGAUGAGCCUCACCUUGCUCGCUCAACUACUUCCAAUACCUGCACAUUGUAGCAGCACCUCCUCCACUGCAGGGUCAAGCAAGCAGGACCCUGCAAGCAUUGUUGCCUGCACCAGCACCACCUCCGCGCAUCCACUUCCAACUCCAGCUCCAGGUUCUAUAUUGUCCAGCAGAUCUGUUCCUUGCAAAAAGGAGCUACAUCUCUGGGUGAAGAGUGAAACAGUCAUAGAGCCGGUUCCUACAAAUCAUGAACCCACCUCCAUCUAAACACUCCCCCAUCCACAGGGACAAGCGUAUACUGUUACUCAUCUUAGUGCCCGGAAUCAUGAACAUUCAGAGUUGUGCAGUAAUUCAAAAGUGCAAAUAAAUUUGGCAUGUAAUCUUCUCUUUAUGUAAAACACAUUUUCAUAUCAUUUCUAUUGGUGAACUACAAUUCUUAUGUCUGGUACUACUUAAUUUCUAAUAUAUUUCUACU